GAUGAACGCUGGCGGCGUGCCUAAUACAUGCAAGUCGAGCGAACAGACGAGGAGCUUGCUCCUCUGACGUUAGCGGCGGACGGGUGAGUAACACGUGGAUAACCUACCUAUAAGACUGGGAUAACUUCGGGAAACCGGAGCUAAUACCGGAUAAUAUAUUGAACCGCAUGGUUCAAUAGUGAAAGACGGUUUUGCUGUCACUUAUAGAUGGAUCCGCGCCGCAUUAGCUAGAUGGUAAGGUAACGGCUUACCAAGGCAACGAUGCGUAGCCGACCUGAGAGGGUGAUCGGCCACACUGGAACUUAGACACGGUCCAGACUCCUACGGGAGGCAGCAGUAGGGAAUCUUCCGCAAUGGGCGAAAGCCUGACGGAGCAACGCCGCGUGAGUGAUGAAGGUCUUCGGAUCGUAAAACUCUGUUAUUAGGGAAGAACAAAUGUGUAAGUAACUAUGCACGUCUUGACGGUACCUAAUCAGAAAGCCACGGCUAACUACGUG
rnacentral:rRNA from 1 species